rnacentral:rRNA from 1 species
GACAGAGGUCUCAAGCGUUGUUCGGAUUCAUUGGGCGUAAAGGGCGCGUAGGCUGCGGGGCAAGUCGGGUGUGAAAUCUCAGAGCUCAACUCUGAAACUGCACUCGAUACUGCUUUGCUCGAGGACUGGAGAGGAGAUUGGAAUUCACGGUGUAGCAGUGAAAUGCGUAGAUAUCGUGAGGAAGACCAGUGGCGAAGGCGGAUCUCUGGACAGUUCCUGACGCUGAGGAGCGAAAGCCAGGGGAGCAAACGGG